UCGAACCCUGCAAGGCAGAACGACCCGUGAACAUGUAAAUACAACCGGGUGAUGGGUAUAAUGGCAUUGGUUGUUAUCCUCAUCCCCUCCUGACAUGUGUUUGUGGCGCCUUGUAUAGGGUGCCAUGGAUGUCAUGUCGGAUCUUAACAAACCCCGGCACGGCAUGUGCCAAGGAAAACAAAAAAAUAAGGUCUCAUCCUGUGUUGCCCCGUUUGCGGUGUGCAUGCAGGUUGUGGCCUCUUAGUAAAAUAACAAACGACUCUCGGCAACGGAUAUCUCGGCUCACGCAUCGAUGAAGAACGUAGCAAAAUGCGAUACUUGGUGUGAAUUGCAGAAUCCCGUGAACCAUCGAGUUUUUGAACGCAAGUUGCGCCCGAAGCCAUCCGGCUAAGGGCACGCCUGCCUGGGCGUCACGCAUCGCGUCGCCCCCCACCACAUGGUGAAGGGGCGGAGAUUGGUCUCCCGUACUCUGUUGCGGUUGGCCUAAAAAUGAGUCCCCUUUAGCGGACACAUGACUAGUGGUGGUUGAACUGACCCUCGUCUUUAUCGUGUGUCGUGAGCUGCUAGGGAAGCCCUCAUAAUAGACCCGAUCGUAUCGUUUUAGUACGGUGCUUCGAC
rnacentral:misc_RNA from 1 species